rnacentral:misc_RNA from 1 species
GAUGAAGAACGCAGCGAAAUGCGAUAAGUAGUGUGAAUUGCAGAAUUCAGUGAAUCAUCGAAUCUUUGAACGCACAUUGCGCCCCAUGGUAUUCCGUUGGGCAUGCCUGUUCGAGCGUCAUUUACCCCCUCAAGCUCCGCUUGGUGUUGGGCGUCUGUCCCGCUUCGCGCGCGGACUCGCCCCAAAGGUAUUGGCAGCGGUCGUGCCAGCUUCUCGCGCAGCACAUUGCGCUUCUCGAGGCACCGGUGGGCCCGCGUCCAUCAAGCUCACCCCCCCAGUUUGACCUCGGAUCAGGUAGGGAUACCCGCUGAACUUAAGCAUAUCAAUAAGCGGAGGA